AUGAUUAAGAAAGGCGAUCGAAGAGCUCCCUUCGAUCCAAUCCAGGAGGGGAAGUGGUCGGUUGCAGCUGCCGGUUCAUGGAUACCUCUCUGGUGCAGCAAUGGCCGCUGCUCACCUCUGCACUUGCAUGGGUGUGCAUGACCCGGGAGAUGAGCCCGCCAUCAUCUUUCCCUCGUGCUUGGAUUGAAGGGAGCUCCUCUCUGUCUGUCUGUCUGUC